UGAACUGUGAGCUGCAAUAAACUUCUCCUCCUUUAAAUUUAGGUGUCAGGUAUUUUGUCUCAUCAACAGAAACAAAGGCACUUACUGACCAAGCAUAUUCAGGACAUUAAGAGAUGGGGAACAAAGUGCUUUCUAUCCCAGACAUUCAGAGUUGGAUCUUCUCUCCAUGCCUACAAAAUCAGAUGUCUACUCCUGCAGCAACACUAAUACUGUCAACACUGUGGCUAUGGCAAAGACACCAAGAAAACAAAUAAAUAAAUACCAUCUUUUGCA